rnacentral:misc_RNA from 1 species
GCUUCAUGUGCAAAGGGAGCCAGGCAAGUGCAAUUAGAUAAAGGAGUCAUUGGGUCAUGUAGCUUUGUUUGUUGGACUAAGUUUAUUUAAUUUUUUUUUUCAAAUUAUAUAUGUAUAAUGCACAAACAUACUUUGAGAUGACUUGCAUGUGCACACGCAGACUCACAGUCAAUAGUUCAAAGUUAAGCAUAGAACAGAGAUGGUAGAAAACAUACUGUAUGUACAUGAUCAAAAUUAAAUAUGUGAUAAAGAGAUAGAAAUUGUGCAUAAUUCUUAUAAAGUGCAAUCAGAUGUAUAAUAGACAUUUAUUAUUGCAUUCACAAAGAUAUAAUCUGUGACUAACUUCCUUGACCACCGUGUGCAUUGCCUCCAUGCCUCAACAAUAUGGUGCUCCUCUUCCCCACACCCCUUUCACUUUUAUUUAACCAAAGGGCUCAAGUUUCACUAAGAUAUUGAUCCACAAAAACUAUAAUAACAAACUCUGCCUGUUAAGAUCUUGUCUGAAAAGCCUGCCUAACACUAUGAAUCGCCAUAGGAGAAAUUAAAUUCUGCACAUGCUGUAAAUUAAAUAUUCCCUGCUUAGAAUUUGGAAUCAAUGAUCUAGAGGGCACUGUAUUGUUUCUAUUUUUGAAGAUUAUGCUUAGCAGAAUUUUUGAAUUAUACUUCAAAAUGCAACUUGUGAGAGUGAUCUGGUAAUGUUUUGACUAUUUUGCGCUUUGUGCUUUAAGCGAUAGAGUGAUGCAUCGCUUUGAGUGCACCUUAUGCUUUUAACUACCUUGGAUUUAGACACUGGUUGUCAUGCUAAUAUGUUGAAUUUGUUAUGAAUUGUCUAAUAUUAAUUUUGAAUUUUUAGCAAAUUUAACUUUCUUUUUUUACUAACCUCUCUUAGGUUCACACUUGUUCCAUGCACCUAGAUAUUAGGACUCCUUUGUGCGUUAGUGAACCAUGCCCUUUUAAUAACUGUGAUCCACUAUCUAUCAGUUAUCUGAGAGGUUUCACUGUUAGCAACAAAAUCUAUUUAAUGCUUUCUCUCACCUAAAGUACUGGUUUUUCAAUGGCUACGUCUCAAAUGUUUGGAGACUACCAUCUGAAACAAAUCCAUGUAUCACUCCACAUUGGCAGCUGUGUUACCCAUGUAUGAUCCCAUAUUAUAUUUCUUACCUGUUCUUACUUCUACAGUGUGUAUAACAUAAGUGAAAAGGAGCUUAAUGCAGGUGAAGGGAAUCUUUUAGUAAAACAGCUUCCUUACGGCUUAUGGAAUCCCUGCCAAGUGAAACAGAUUGUAUGCUAUCACUUUCCUUCAGUCUUCACUUCACAACCUCCUCAAUCUAACAGCCUUAUGCUACCUACUGAACUGAAAUAGGAUUGAAAUUGAUUUAUCAACUCCUUCUAAAAACAAGUCCAAAGAACAAUUGACUCAACGAAAAUUUUAUUACUUAUGCAUCACUUAGCCAAAUUAUGUUAGUAAAGCUUCUUGCUGAUAGUAUAACUAAUAGACCAGAUCCUAAAUUAUGCAUAAAACCAAUAACUUUCAGAUAAAAGCAUAUUGCAUAGGUGUAGCAGUUGCAGUGUAAUAUCUGGUAUCCAUUUGAUCGCAUGUAAGAUUCUACAAAUGUGUAGAACAGCUGUGAGGUUUAGAUAAGGAAUCAGUGUUGUCAAAAGUGCUAG